UUCUUUAACCCCUAGCAAGAGAACUCAAACCACAAAAAAUGAAGACAUCUCUUGCUUCCUUCUCAACUCAAUAAGGGAUGGCUGCUAUGGAAUCAUAAUAGUGGAUUGAAGAGGCAAUAAGGUGGACACGUGUCAAGAAGAGUUUGGAAAAGUUGCAGGCCGUUAGUGAGCUGGUGCAGGAGCGUAGCCAGCUAGUUGGGGUCUUCGUUGUCGUUUUGGGGGGAGAUAUUUUGAGGGAGUAGAUGGUGUUUUUCAGGGGUGGGUUUUUUUAGGAGAUAUUUUUAGAGAGGUUUUCAUCUUUAGCUUGGGUAGCAAGCUAGAGGGAGGGAGAAGUUGUUGUCUGAGGAGGGUAUUCCGUGGGCUGGUUUGAGAGAGAUAUUUUUGAGUUGCAGAGAGCUUGGGAGGAGAGUUUUAGCUAGAGAGGGAGCAAACUCGGUUUCUAGAGGGGAUUCCUUUAGCUUGGGCAGCAAGUUGGAGGGGGGAGAGAGAGCGUAUUGAGAGGGAGGUGAUUUUUUUACAGAGAUUUUUUUUUUUUUUUG